rnacentral:rRNA from 1 species
AUAUCAAUAAGCGGAGGAAAAGAAACUAACAAGGAUUCCCUUAGUAACUGCGAGUGAAGAGGGAAGAGCUCAAAUUUAAAAUCUGGCAGCUAUGCUGUCCGAAUUGUAAUCUGUAGAAGUGUUUUCUGCAUUGGACCGUGUACAAGUCUCUUGGAAUAGAGUGUCAUAGAGGGUGAGAAUCCCGUCCAUGGCACGGACUACCAAUGCUUUUGUGAUACACUCUCAAAGAGUCGAGUUGUUUGGGAAUGCAGCUCAAAAUGGGUGGUAAAUUCCAUCUAAAGCUAAAUAUAGGCGAGAGACCGAUAGUGAACAAGUACCGUGAGGGAAAGAUGAAAAGCACUUUGGAAAGAGAGUUAAACAGUAC